UACGUAGGGUGCGAGCGUUUAAUCGGAAUUACUGGGCGUAAAGCGUGCGCAGGCGGCUAUUUAAGCUUGCUGUGAAAGCCCCGGGCUUAACCUGGGAACUGCAGUGAGGACUGGAUGGCUGGAGUGUGGCAGAGGGGGGUGGAAUUCCACGUGUAGCAGUGAAAUGCGUAGAGAUGUGGAGGAACACCGAUGGCGAAGGCAGCCCCCUGGGCUAACACUGACGCCUCAGGCACGAAAGCGUGGGGAGCAAACAGG
rnacentral:rRNA from 1 species